CCUUAAGUAAGUUAAAUAAACUUCUGAAUUUUUACUUCAGUUUUACUUUUUAGUCUUUAGGG
rnacentral:tRNA from 1 species